rnacentral:rRNA from 1 species
GACGAACGCUGGCGGCGUGCUUAACACAUGCAAGUCGAACGGUAAGGCCCCAGCUUGCUGGGGUACACGAGUGGCGAACGGGUGAGUAACACGUGGGUGACCUGCCCCGCACUUCGGGAUAAGCCUGGGAAACUGGGUCUAAUACCGGAUAGGACCGCACCGUGAGGGUGUGGUGGAAAGUCUUUCGGUGUGGGAUGGGCCCGCGGCCUAUCAGCUUGUUGGUGGGGUAAUGGCCUACCAAGGCGGCGACGGGUAGCCGGCCUGAGAGGGUGGACGGCCACAUUGGGACUGAGACACGGCCCAGACUCCUACGGGAGGCAGCAGUGGGGAAUAUUGCACAAUGGGCGGAAGCCUGAUGCAGCGACGCCGCGUGGGGGAUGACGGCCUUCGGGUUGUAAACUCCUUUCACCAUCGACGAAGGUUUUCUGACGGUAGAUGGAGAAGAAGCACCGGCUAACUACGUG